GGGUUUGUAGCUCAGUUGGUUAGAGCAUUCGGCUGUUAACCGAAAGGUCGAGGGUUCGAGUCCCUCCAAGCCCU
rnacentral:tRNA from 1 species